UGAAAGGUAGUGCUUGAGGCAUUAGGUCUAACUGCAGCCGCGUUGAGCUCCUUAACUGGGUACAAUUUUUGGGCUGCCAGGAGGGGCAAAGAUUCAGCUUCCUUGGGCCAAUCUUGUUCCCUUCGCUUGUUACCCUUGCCGCUGCCACUGUGCUGCAGGAAAAUUCUCAAAUUUUAUUUUGUAUCGAGUGUGGCCGUGUGGGCUUGGCUUAUACACGCACAAGUGGCUGAUAUAGUAGUUUUUGUGCUGUCAUGCAGAUAUUUUUCCCACUUUCCUCUGGCCCUGCAUCAUUAAUCUUCAGUGGAGCUGGUGCAAUGGCGUUCAUGGGUUAUGUUGUUUACGACACUGACAGGCUAAUCAAGUGCUUCAACUAUGAUCAGCACUUAACAGCCUCGGUACAUCUUUACUUGGACGUGAUAAACUUGUUCCUUUAUAUCAUGCGGACCAUGGUAGAGCUGACUGUGUAUAUCGAUGUAGACGCUGUGACUGAGGAGAUCGUUGGAGACUAGAAUCUUGGCGUAAUUGCGCAGAAGUUUUCUGGAAUGCGUUGGAAGCAGAACUAGCCUAUACUUGGCUUUGUUUUAAAGUUGAAACUUGGAAUUAGUGUUAGCCUAUGCCUGGCUUUGUGUGAUUACGCGAAGCUUUCUUAAUGCGUCAGGGUACAUGAUAAAGUUUCAACACUGAAUUUGUUGUGUAUCACACAAGACUUUCUAGUAGAUCCAAUCAUCCAACGAUUACAAUUAGCGUGUGGACUUGUUC
rnacentral:misc_RNA from 1 species